rnacentral:tRNA from 2 species
GAAAUAGGGUGAUCAAGAGAAAGCUGCUAACUUUUUUUCUUUAGUGGUUAAAUUCCAUUAAUAUUUCU